GACGAACCGUGCGAACGUUGUUCGGAAUCACUGGGCUUAAAGGGCGCGUAGGCGGGUGACCAAGUCAGGGGUGAAAUCUUUCGGCUUAACCGGAAAACAGCCCCUGAUACUGGCCAUCUUGAGGGAGGUAGGGGCAUGUGGAACUUCUGGUGGAGCGGUGAAAUGCGUAGAUAUCAGAAGGAACGCCGGUGGCGAAAGCGACGUGCUGGACCUCAUCUGACGCUGAGGCGCGAAAGCUAGGGGAGCGAACGGG
rnacentral:rRNA from 1 species